GGUGUGGUAGUCAAGCGGCAACGACAGCAGACUGUAAAUCGGCCCCGAAUUCGGUUCGUAGGUUCAAGUCCUACCCGCACCA
rnacentral:tRNA from 1 species